rnacentral:pre_miRNA from 1 species
AGAGUGCAUUUGAGCCAAGGAUGACUUGCCGGCGGCAUCAUGCACAAAUGUAGAGUCCCAUCUCAUUUGCGUGUUGUCGGCGAGGAGUCCUGGCUCACUUUUGUUCUCU